CUCAGUCACGCGGCACUGAUUUCACUCAUGGGUUUGUGUUGUUAAAAUGUUAAAAUGACAUUCAGAUUAGCGCUACAUUUAAAAAGAAGAAGAAGAGGAGGAAGUGGAAGGACUGUGUGGAUGUUCACCUCUGGCAGAACUUCACCCACUCCAUUUCCUGUACAAGGCUGAUCCAAAGAGGUAUCUGUAGACACCAAAAACACACCUCACUGAGACGUUGAGCAUAUUUUAAAGAAAGUCACAGAUUAUGGCGGGUGAGACGGGUGAUCUCGUUCUGGAGGGCUGCGUUUACACGAUCAAGGUGAGGCAGUUGUAGCGUAUCGGAGAGAAGAUGCUCCUGUUGGUCUCGCUCCUCUUUCAUAGCCUGCAACUCUGCUC